rnacentral:rRNA from 1 species
CAGUCGCCACGGUAAUACGAAGGGUGCAAGCGUUAAUCGGAAUUACUGGGCGUAAAGCGUGCGUAGGCGGUGAGUUAAGUCUGCUGUGAAAUCCCCGGGCUCAACCUGGGAAUGGCAGUGGAUACUGGGUCACUAGAGUGUGGUAGAGGAUAGUGGAAUUUCCGGUGUAGCAGUGAAAUGCGUAGAGAUCGGAAGGAACACCUGUGGCGAAGGCGACUAUCUGGGCCAACACUGACACUGAGGCACGAAAGCGUGGGGAGCAAACAGGAUUAGAUACCCCUGUAGUCCCUGUCUCUUAUAC